rnacentral:rRNA from 1 species
AUGGACUCGGAUGACAAGGAAGUGCUCGCCGCGCUGCUGGAUGAGGAAGCCAAGGCCGACGUCCAGGAAAAAGAGCAUCUCAUGGUGCUCGCCGCCCUCGCCCAGCUGCUGGCGAGCGAUGAAAAGCCGCGGCGAGGUGGCUCGGCGGCGGGGCGGGUGAAAGCAAAGAACCGACAUCGUCUCGAAGGCUACUGCAUGCUCUACUCCGACUACUUCGCCGAUGCUCCACUUCACUCCGACUACUUCAGAGUAUUUGAAUUUUCUGUGAUGAAAUAUGUGAUAAAAAAUAUUUAUAUUGAUAAUUGA